rnacentral:rRNA from 1 species
UACGUAGGGUGCGAGCGUUGUCCGGAAUUAUUGGGCGUAAAGGGCUCGUAGGCGGUCUGUCGCGUCGGGAGUGAAAACUCAGGGCUUAACCCUGAGCCUGCUUCCGAUACGGGCAGACUAGAGGUAUGCAGGGGAGAACGGAAUUCCUGGUGUAGCGGUGAAAUGCGCAGAUAUCAGGAGGAACACCAGUGGCGAAGGCGGGUUGCUGGGCCGACACUGACGCUGAGGCGCGAAAGCUAGGGGAGCGAACGGG